rnacentral:rRNA from 1 species
AGAGUUUGAUCAUGGCUCAGAACGAACGCUGGCGGCGUGGAUAAGACAUGCAAGUCGAACGCUGGUUUGCGGGUAGCAAUAUUCGCAAGCUGGAGUGGCGCAAGGGUGUGUAACACGUGGGUAAUCUGCCGUGAAGUCUGGGAUAACUUGCUGAAAGGCGAGCUAAUACCGGAUGUGAACGCAAGUUCAAAGUUGGGGACCGUAAGGCCUGACGCUUCACGAUGAGCCCGCGGCCUAUCAGCUAGUUGGUGAGGUAACGGCUCACCAAGGCUAAGACGGGUAGCUGGUCUGAGAGGACGACCAGCCACACUGGAACUGAGACACGGUCCAGACACCUACGGGUGGCAGCAGUCGAGAAUUUUUCUCAAUGGGCGAAAGCCUGAAGGAGCGACGCCGCGUGGGGGAUGAAUGGCUUCGGCCCGUAAACCCCUGUCAUUUGCGAACAAGUUGAUUCACCUAACACGUGAAGCAUUGAUUGUAGCGGAAGAGGAAGGGACGGCUAACUCUGUGCCAGCAGCCGCGGUAAUACAGAGGUCCCAAGCGUUGUUCGGAUUCACUGGGCGUAAAGGGUGCGUAGGCGGCCAGGUAAGUUUGAUGUGAAAUCCCGCAGCUCAACUGCGGAACUGCAUUGAAUACUAUUUGGCUCGAGGAAUGGAGGGGAGACUGGAAUUCUCGGUGUAGCAGUGAAAUGCGUAGAUAUCGAGAGGAACACCAGUGGCGAAGGCGAGUCUCUGGACAUUUCCUGACGCUCAGGCACGAAAGCCAGGGGAGCAAACGGGAUUAGAUACCCCCGUAGUCC